GCCCUAGCUCAGUGAGAGAGCAUCUGCUUUGCAUGCAGAAGGUCCCAGAUUCAUUCCCUGACAUCUCCA